rnacentral:rRNA from 1 species
UCAGGAUGAACGCUAGCUACAGGCUUAACACAUGCAAGUCGAGGGGCAGCAUGAUCGAAGCUGCUUGAUUGAUGGCGACCGGCGCACGGGUGAGUAACGCGUAUCCAACCUUCCCUAUAGUAGGGAAUAGCCCGGCGAAAGUCGGAUUAAUGCUCUAUGUUGUAUUUAGAAGACAUCUGAAGAAUACCAAAGGUUUACCGCUAUAGGAUGGGGAUGCGUCUGAUUAGGUAGUAGGCGGGGUAACGGCCCACCUAGCCGACGAUCAGUAGGGGUUCUGAGAGGAAGGUCCCCCACAUUGGAACUGAGACACGGUCCAAACUCCUACGGGAGGCAGCAGUGAGGAAUAUUGGUCAAUGGACGGAAGUCUGAAUCAGCCAAGUAAGCGUGCAGGAUGACGGCCCUAUGGGUUGUAAACUGCUUUUAUAUAGGGAUAAAGUCGGGGACGUGUCCCCGUUUGUAGGUACUAUAUGAAUAAGGACCGGCUAAUUCCGUGCCAGCCGCUGC